AAAUACCACCCUGUAGUUUCAUACUUUUUCAUUUUGAUACCCUAUAGUUUAAAUAUAUUAUUUUCGUAUCUUAGAUUUUUUUUUAUUUUUUAUUUUUGUAAUUAGUGACGAGAUUAAAAUUGAAGGUACUAAAGUAAAUAUUCGAUAAACUAUAGAUGGGUAUCUAAAGUUUUUUUUGUAUAUGAUUUAAUAAAAAGUUAACAGAGGGCUGACGAAAAUAGAAAAAUGAAACCGCAUGUACUAAAUUGAUAUACGUUAAAUUAUAUGUUAUUAAAGUAAAAAGUGCGAAACGAUAACGAUGAUAUUUAAAAUUUAUCCUUUAAUUAAAAUAAACAAAAUUAAUAAAUAAUUUUGAAAAAUAUGUUAGGUUAGAACUUCAUGUAUGCGAAUGAGAAUAGCUCGCAUGAGAUUUAAAAUUUAUGGGACUUUAAUUUUUCUGUAAAGAAAAAUUUUGAUUUAUGUAAUUUUUUGUUACAGUAAACUUAUCGGCAAUUAAUAUAGAGUUAAUUAUAAACAUAUCAAGAAUUCUUAUAAAAUUUAACUUUUUAUCUUUAUCCGUGCAAAAGUUCUACCGUUUUUAAAUAUACCACUGCUGUAAGAAUUCGUUAUAAAAAUAAAAAUAUAGUUAAUCAUAAAUAAAAUACAUAAUCCUGGUUAGUGGAUGAGAUAAAUUUAUCGUUUUACUCCUCUUAUAUUAUUGGGUAAAAUAUUUUUUUAGCAGAAUAUUUUUGCAUAAUGGACAUUUGGAGAAAUAUAUUUAUAAGAGUAAAAAUAUUAUUUUACUUAUCUGCUGUUAAAAAAUAAAUCGUGCUUUAACGAUAACAAAUCAGGAGGGCAUAUAUGAAUAUCACUAGACUUUUAUAGAGAUAAAAAUGAAAAGUUGAACUUUAUAGGAAUAUAUUUAUUAUUUUAUAUAUUUCUGAAGAGUUGUAUGCAAUUAACCCAUUAAUUUAUAAAGUAAUGAUUUGACAAUAGAGGUUGUUUAUUAUAACAGUAAAAAUUUUUUGAAUUUUCGUAAAGUAUAGAUAUGUGGUUAGGUUAAGCAGUUAAUUAAUAAAUAUUUUAUUUGUUUAUGCUAAGAUGAGAUUUGAAUUAUAAUGUGGUAAAGAUAAAUAUUUUUAAAAGAUAAUUAAAAAAUAUGGAGAAUCCAAUUCUCCAUUCAAAUAGUUUGAAACAAAUAUGCCUAAACACCGAUUAAAAUUAAAAAGAAAAACCAAUAAAUACAUUACUAAUGAUCUCUGGAUUAGGGAUGUCAACGGGUCGGAUUUUUAAAAACCCGAAUCCGAAUCCGAAAACCAAAUUAAAACCCAUACCUGGACCUGAACCCGACGGGUUUUAAAAAUUCAUACUCAUAUCCGUUCCCUACCAAAAACCCGAAAUCCGAACCCGAACCAGAAUCCGGACUCGGCGGGUUUUAAAAAUCCAUACCGUUGAAUGAAAAUCUAAAAGAUAAAAAUUAUUAAAUAUUUUAUAUAUUAUAUAAAUAAAUAAAAAUAAAGUAUGUAUGUAUAUAAUUUAUUCGGGUUCCGGUUCGGGUUUGGGUCGGAUAAAUACAAAAUCCAUAUCCAUAUACAUAUCCGUCGGGUUUUUAUUUUCUAUACCCAUAACCGAAUCCAUAGCCGUUUAGCUCAGGUAAACCCGCCCCAUUCGGGUUCGGGUUCGGAUAAUAUUUCGGGUAUCCAUACCCAUUGACAACCCUACUCUGGGUCCCUUUGACAGUUUGACCACAUAUAAUAAAGGGUUAAUUUCAUACAGAUCCCUGCAAACAUGUCAAUUGUAAAUAUAUUCCUACAAAAUUCAACUUUCGUACGUUGUUCCUAGAAAAGUCCUAAUAUUUUCAAAUAUAUCCCUCUAGUUUGUUACCGUUAAAAUACUAUUUAUUUUAUAAGUAAAAUGAUAUUUUUUUCAUCACAAAUAUGUCCCUCCAAAAGUCCCAGCUAUUAAUUAAAAAGAGAUAAAAAAAAGUCAACUCAUAUCAUUAACUAAUUAGGGUUAAGUAUUUUACUUAUAGUUAGUUAAUUUUUUCUAACAGAUCCGAGCGACAGUGAUAUAUUUGAAAAUAUCAAUAUUUUUAUAGAGACACAGCAAAUGAAAGUUGAACCAUAUAGAGAUAAAUUUGCAAUUCACUAUAUUUAUAGGGACCUGUAUGAAAUUAA
rnacentral:lncRNA from 1 species